GCUCCCUUCGUCUAGUGGCCUAGGACGUCGCCCUCUCACGGCGAAAACAGGGGUUCGAGUCCCCUAGGGAGCGCCA
rnacentral:tRNA from 2 species